UCCCAAAGUGCUGGGAUUAUAGGCCAUGGU
rnacentral:piRNA from 1 species